rnacentral:rRNA from 1 species
UACGGGGGGGGCAAGCGUUGUUCGGAAUUACUGGGCGUAAAGGGCUCGUAGGCGGCCAACUAAGUCAGACGUGAAAUCCCUCAGCUUAACUGGGGAACUGCGUCUGAGACUGAUGAGCUUGAGUGAGCAGGAGGAGGAACGCGGAAUUCCAGGUGUAGCGGUGAAAUGCGUAGAUAUCUGGAGGAACACCGGUGGCGAAGGCGGCGUUCUGGACUGCAACUGACACUGAGGAACGAAAGCCAGGGGAGCAAACGGG